ensembl:lncRNA
AGCUCCUGGAAGUUUCCUCCUUGACAUCUGUGGGACGUGGGUUCUGAGCUUGGCUCUACCAUGCAGGGCUGGUGGUUUAUCUUUUCCAUGUUGAUUUGUAGAUGUUCCUGAUGUAUUCUGGACACAAGUCCUUUGUCAGAGAUAUGGAUUAUCUCUUCUACAUGGAAAAUUAAAUUGUCAGCUGAUUCCUGGAGCAUCAUAAUGGACGGACUAUCAAGACAUGAAAACAAAUGUCCAUUGACAGAUGCACAGAUAAAGAAGAUGUGGUCCAUGCAGCCAACGGCUACUGCACGCAUGCAUGCACACUGCUCAGUCGUGUAGGCUGCACGCACGCAUGCUCAGCUGCUCGGUCGUGUCCGACUCUUUGAGAUCCACGGACUAUCGCCCACCAGGCUCCUCUGUCCAUGGGAUUUUCCAGGCAAGAUUACUGGAGUGGGUUGCCAUUUCCUCCUUUGGGGAUCUUCCCGACCCAGGGAUCAAGCCCACGUCUCCUGCUCCCAGAUGCUUUACCAUCCGAGCCACCUGGGAAGCUCACAGAAAGGACUACUCCUUGGUGAUUAAGAAGAACAAAACAAUGCCAUUUGCAGUAACACGGAUGCAACGGAAGAUUGUCAUACUAAGUGGAGUAAGUCAGAAGGAGGCAAAUAGUGCAUGACGUCACUUACACAUGAAAUCUACAUUUCGGCACAAAUGAGCCUGCCUGUGAAACAGAGACAGAGUCACAGACACAGAGAGCAGGCUGGGGAGGCCAGGAGGGGCCUCUGCUCGGGGAAGGAUGGACUGGGAGGUUGAGUUGGCAGAUGAAAGCUUUCAUAUAUAAAAUGGAUCAAUAGCAAGACCCCACUAUAUAGCCCAGAGGACCAUACUCAGUACUCGAUGAUAAACCAUAAUGGAAAAGAGCAUGUACGCAUAGGCUCCCCUGGUGACUCAGCAGUAAAGAAUCCGCCUGCAGUGCAGGAGACCUGGGUUUUGUCCUUAGGAUGGGAAGAUCCCCUGGAGGAGGGCAUGGCAACCCACUCCAGUCUUCUUGCCUGGACAAUCCCAUGGACAGAGGAGCCUGGUGGGCUGCUGAACCACUUUGCUGUACAGCAGUAAUUAGCACAGCAUUGUAAACCAACUCUACUUCAGUUUAGAAAAUAAGGAAACAUAAGGAAGGGGGCUGGGCCCUGUUUGUGCUGAGUGCUGGGGCUCCACGGGCCUGUGAUGUGGCCUCAAAGGGAGCGCCCCUCUGGAAGAGGAGACAGACGUUCAGAUGAGGAGGGAGGAAAGGCUAGUUUCUCUCGCCAAGCUAACAUGGUUUUCUUUACAAAAGCUUUAUCAGAACUUUCUUCAGAGCCCAGGCAGGAUGAGGAGCUUUCCCCGUGUUUGCUUUCUGGGCUGGGUCUGUAAUCCUUCUCGGUGAGCACGGCUUCUAGACGCUUCCUUGGCUACAAGCCCCGUUGGCUGAACGUGCGCUCAACUCCUGACCUCCCCCUGGCUUCUGCCCUGGUUUUGGGUGGCUUCACCAGGACAUGGUCCGAUUCUCAGCCCUGGAACCCGGUUCUUGCUGCUCGAUGGAGGUUUGACGCAAGGAUAAAGGAGAUGCCGGCCGUGCGCUGAGCGCAGAGCCAGCCCCAGUGAGCACCCCUCCCCUCCGAGCACGUCCUGGGUGCUCGGCACGUCGCCUAUGGGGGCGCCUACAGACAAUGCGUUCACACGUCCAGCUUCCCCACAAACCACGCCUCCCUGUAAGGCAAACUGGAGCGAUGUCUUUUUCAUCUACGCACAGCCUGGCCCAUGGCAGAUGCCCAAGAAAUGCUUCUUGAAUAAACGAUGCUGAACGCUUCUGUCCACUGAUUUCUCCACCGGGGGUCUUAGCCGGAGAUGUCUCACAGUAACAUGGAUGGUAAAAGCAGCAACUGGGGGCUUCCUUAGUGGGCCAGUGGCUAAAAGUGCGCUCCUAAUGCAGGGGGCCGGGGUUCCCUCCCCAGUCAGGGAACGAGAGCCCACGUGCCAUGGCUAACAGUUCGCAUGCCACAGGUAAAAUCCUGCGUGCCGCAUCAAGACCCGUCACGGCCAAAUACGCAAAUGACAAACAAAUAAACACUACAAUAAAAAAGAACCGCAGUCGGGCAGGUCAGAGGGAGCUGGAGUGUCGGAUGACCGGAGAAUCCGCGUCUCUAGUCCUAGGGUUGAUUCUCCGUCCUUCACCCCACGUUGCCUCCGCCUGGCUGUGUCUUUGAGGUUUUACAGGUUAGGAGAUGGAGCCUCAGAGAAGUUCUAAGAAGUGACAGAGCCCAGACUGGAACCCCAAACCAUAGAGCCCCCACAUCUAGGCUUUGCCUACCUUCUUUCUCCGGGCCCACAGGGAGCUGUGGGAGUCUUUUCAGGGAACGGAGUCUUCAGGCGCAUGUUCCAGAUGGAUCUCUGCUGCCCACCGCAUGGGGUGCAGUCAGUCUGGAGCCGGGGGACCAGGAGCGUGCUCAGGUCUCUGCAGAGAGACGACAGAGGCCGGGACCAAGGCGGCCAUGGGCUGAAGUGGGGGACAGGGGAGGGUGGGGCCAAGAGAGACUUGGGAAGUGGACAGGUCAGGCGGGGUGAUUUUUCUUUUUUAAAUUCUAAACACUACAAUAUUUAUGCAUGAUCAUUACAUAUUUAGAAAUAAUCUUAAUUUAACAUAGAAAGGAACGAGUAUGUCCUUGUUUUCUUGGCCAUAAUCACAGCUGUUCUGGUGGGGAAGGGAGAGGACCACUCUCCUAGGGUGGAGACAGCGCCGUCUGCUGAGACGGUGAGAAGCCAGCGCUCGGGAGGCUGCUGAGCACUUGAGUAGCCACCUGUGGAGGCGGGGCUGAUGCGGCCUGACCACAGCACGCCCACCAGGCCUGACCCUGCCCAGCCCAACCGCCCACGUGGCAUCAUUAGUUCUGCUGAUGCUGCGACAUGGAGCCACGGAUGUCCCAGAGCCCAGGAGAGAGCAGUGAAGGAAGGAAGAAGGAAGCAAAGCCUUGGAUCUUGGCGCUCCCAGCUGGAGGAUGGAGGGGCUGGUCUGAUGGCCUCCAGGAGCCGUUCCAGCUUAACAGCAGGAUUCUGGAGAGCAGAGGGGCUGGCCCCGCGGGGCUCAGGAGAGCAGGCUUUGGAGAAGGCCACAGGGUGGGGGUCUAGGAGCUAAGCUCUGCACGCUCCUCAGCCCUCCCGCCCUCUAAGGCUGUCCCUGUAAGCUCGGGCACAGACUCGGUGUGUGUGCACGUUGAGGGGCACCCUACCAGAGUGGGAGAGCCCACGGCUGGUGUCAGCAAUCGCGGCAACCGUCCAGAACCCACUCUGCCUGGUCACAAGCUCUGAGACUGGCGGGUUCCACGCCCUGAAGGUGUCGAGACUCACCUGGGCCCGGGUAGUUUAUGCCCAUGGGCACCAUGUGACUUCCCCGUCAGCUUCCCAGAUGGCUCAGUGGAUAAAGAAUUCGCUUGCAAUGCAGGAGACGAGGGUUCGAUGCCAGGGUGGGGAAGAUCCCCUGGGGUGAGGGCAUGCCAACCCACUCCACUGUUCUUUCCUGGAGAAUCCCACGGACAGAGGAGCCUGGCGGGCUACAGUCCAUGGGUCACAAAGAGUCACGGCUGAAGUACUGAG